GAGGGAAUAGCUCAAGUGGUAGAGCGCAUGCUUUGCACGCACGAGGUCCUGGGUCUGAUCCCCAGUACCUCCU
rnacentral:tRNA from 1 species